UACGGAGGGUGCAAGCGUUGUCCGGAUUUAUUGGGUUUAAAGGGUGCGUAGGCGGCCGAUUAAGUCAGUGGUGAAAGCCAACAGCUCAACUGUUGAACUGCCAUUGAUACUGGUUGGCUUGAGUUCUGUUAAGGUAGGCGGAAUUGAUGGUGUAGCGGUGAAAUGCAUAGAUACCAUCAGGAACACCGAUUGCGAAGGCAGCUUACUGGGCAUGAACUGACGCUGAGGCACGAAAGCGUGGGGAGCGAACAGGAUUAGAUACCCCCGUA
rnacentral:rRNA from 1 species